UUGCAGCUCUACAUUUUGCAGAUAGGGACGUCACGUGUGCAGUCGUUACUUGCGGUUUCACCUCUUCAUUUGGGAGUUGAGAACUGCGACAGAAGCAGCAAAGCUGCAGGAGCUACUACUAGUGUUUAGAAUCUGGAACCUAUGUUGCUCGGACUCUUCAAAAAGGCCAUCAAGUGUGUCGGAUCCUUCAAAAGUAGUGCAUUUUUAAAGGAUCUGACACGGGUGCGGCAACAUUUUUGAAGAGUCUGAGCAACUUAGUCUAUAACCUAGUAAACUGCUUCUUUCAAAUCUGAAACCCAUAGACUUAGAAUCCUAGCUUCGCCUCUGCACAGACGAACUUAAUUGGAGCAACAUGGAAGUAGAAAUUAUAAGCGCGAACUUCUUGCUAUGGGUUUAGGCAUUGUAGUUAUUGUAGUUGUGGCUGUACAGAAGACUAUUUAUAGAAAAGAAUUGUCUAUGUAAUGUCUUUAUGUAUAUUUAAACACCAUACUGAUGUACAUUAAUGAGGUUUAUUUGACUUGCAAAAGGGAAACUAAAGGAGCUUGUGUCAAUAAAAUGUUACCAAAAAGUUUAGAAGA